AACGAACGCUGGCGGCAUGCCUAACACAUGCAAGUCGAACGAACCCUUCGGGGUUAGUGGCGCACGGGUGCGUAACGCGUGGGAAUCUGCCCUUUGCCUCGGAAUAACAGUUAGAAAUGACUGCUAAUACCGGAUGAUGUCUUCGGACCAAAGAUUUAUCGGCAAAGGAUGAGCCCGCGUAGGAUUAGGUAGUUGGUGGGGUAAAGGCCUACCAAGCCGACGAUCCUUAGCUGGUCUGAGAGGAUGAUCGGCCACACUGGGACUGAGACACGGCCCAGACUCCUACGGGAGGCAGCAGUGGGGAAUAUUGGACAAUGGACGCAAGUCUGAUCCAGCAAUGCCGCGUGAGUGAUGAAGGCCUUAGGGUUGUAAAGCUCUUUUACCAGGGAUGAUAAUGACAGUACCUGGAGAAUAAGCUCCGGCUAACUCCGUGCCAGCCGCCGCGGUAAGAC
rnacentral:rRNA from 1 species